rnacentral:rRNA from 1 species
UACAGAGGUCUCGAGCGUUAGGCGGAAUCACUGGGCGUAAAGGGUGCGUAGGCGGGUUUUUAAGUCAGGGGUGAAAUCCUGGAGCUCAACUCCAGAACUGCCUUUGAUACUGAAAAUCUUGAGUCCGGGAGAGGUGAGUGGAACUGCGAGUGUAGAGGUGAAAUUCGUAGAUAUUCGCAAGAACACCAGUGGCGAAGGCGGCUCACUGGCCCGGUACUGACGCUGAGGCACGAAAGCGUGGGGAGCAAACAGG